CUACACGCAAAGCUUUAUGCCCAUUCUAGCAGUGGCUUUUGGUUCAGAAAACUGAGGAGGGCCUGAGAGACUGAACACCAGGGGAAGCCUCCAUCUAUAAAGAGGAAG